ACAGGGAUUGCCCUAGUAACGGCGAGUGAAGCGGCAACAGCUCAAAUUUGAAAUCUGGCGUCUUUGGCGUCCGAGUUGUAAUUUGCAGAGGGCGCUUUGGCAUUGGCAGCGGUCCAAGUUCCUUGGAACAGGACGUCACAGAGGGUGAGAAUCCCGUACGUGGUCGCUAGCCUUUACCGUGUAAAGCCCCUUCGACGAGUCGAGUUGUUUGGGAAUGCAGCUCUAAAUGGGAGGUAAAUUUCUUCUAAAGCUAAAUACUGGCCAGAGACCGAUAGCGCACAAGUAGAGUGAUCGAAAGAUGAAAAGCACUUUGGAAAGAGAGUUAAAAAGCACGUGAAAUUGUUGAAAGGGAAGCGCUUGCAGCCAGACUUGCCUGUAGUUGCUCAUCCGGGUUUUUACCCGGUGCACUCUUCUACGGGCAGGCCAGCAUCAGUUUGGGCGGUUGGAUAAAGGUCUCUGUCAUGUACCUCCUCUCGGGGAGAACUUAUAGGGGAGACGACAUGCAACCAGCCCGGACUGAGGUCCGCGCAUCUGCUAGGAUGCUGGCGUAAUGGCUGUAAGCGGCCCGUCUUGAAACACGGACCAAGGAGUCUAACAUCUAUGCGAGUGUUUGGGUGUCAAGCCCGAGCGCGUAAUGAAAGUGAACGGAGGUGGGAACCUUUCGGGGUGCACCAUCGACCGAUCCUGAUGUCUUCGGAUGGAUUUGAGUAAGAGCAUAGCUGUUGGGACCCGAAAGAUGGUGAACUAUGCUUGAAUAGGGUGAAGCCAGAGGAAACUCUGGUGGAGGCUCGCAGCGGUUCUGACGUGCAAAUCGAUCGUCAAAUUUGGGCAUAGGGGCGAAAGACUAAUCGAACUAUCUAGUAGCUGGUUCCUGCCGAAGUUUCCCUCAGGAUAGCAGUAACGUUUUCAGUUUUAUGAGGUAAAGCGAAUGAUUAGAGGACUGGGGGAUG
rnacentral:rRNA from 1 species